rnacentral:rRNA from 1 species
GACGAACGCUGGCGGCGUGCUUAACACAUGCAAGUCGAACGGAAAGGCCCUGCUUUUGUGGGGUGCUCGAGUGGCGAACGGGUGAGUAACACGUGAGUAACCUGCCCUUGACUUUGGGAUAACUUCAGGAAACUGGGGCUAAUACCGGAUAGGAGCUCCUGCUGCAUGGUGGGGGUUGGAAAGUUUCGGCGGUUGGGGAUGGACCCGCGGCUUAUCAGCUUGUUGGUGGGGUAGUGGCUUACCAAGGCUUUGACGGGUAGCCGGCCUGAGAGGGUGACCGGCCACAUUGGGACUGAGAUACGGCCCAGACUCCUACGGGAGGCAGCAGUGGGGAAUAUUGCACAAUGGGCGGAAGCCUGAUGCAGCAACGCCGCGUGCGGGAUGACGGCCUUCGGGUUGUAAACCGCUUUCGCCUGUGACGAAGCGUGAGUGACGGUAAUGGGUAAAGAAGCACCGGCUAACUAUGUG